GAUGAACGCUGGCGGCGUGCCUAAUACAUGCAAGUCGAGCGAACAGACGAGGAGCUUGCUCCUCUGACGUUAGCGGCGGACGGGUGAGUAACACGUGGAUAACCUACCUAUAAGACUGGGAUAACUUCGGGAAACCGGAGCUAAUACCGGAUAAUAUAUUGAACCGCAUGGUUCAAUAGUGAAAGACGGUUUUGCUGUCACUUAUAGAUGGAUCCGCGCCGCAUUAGCUAGUUGGUAAGGUAACGGCUUACCAAGGCGACGAUGCGUAGCCGACCUGGGAGGGUGAUCGGCCACACUGGAACUGAGACACGGUCCAGACUCCUACGGGAGGCAGCAGUAGGGAAUCUUCCGCAAUGGGCGAAAGCCUGACGGAGCAACGCCGCGUGAGUGAUGAAGGUCUUCGGAUCGUAAAACUCUGUUAUUAGGGAAGAACAAUUGUGUAAGUAACUAUGCACGUCUUGACGGUACCUAAUCAGAAAGCCACGGCUAACUACGUG
rnacentral:rRNA from 1 species